AGUCCACUUAAGCCACCUUGCUUAGUGUUGGGAGCCUACAUCUACGUAGCUCCUCAAAGACAGCGGCGGAGUCGUAUUAACCUCUGAGCUUAGUAAUUACUUUCUAGCUUGCGAGUGUAGUGCGUCCCCUGCCGUAAAACACCCAUCUUUUUAU
rnacentral:misc_RNA from 1 species